GAUGAACGCUGGCGGCGUGCCUAACACAUGCAAGUCGAGCGAUCUUCUUCGGAAGAGAGCGGCGGGCGGGUGAGUAACGCGUGGGUAACCUGCCCUGUACACACGGAUAACAUACCGAAAGGUAUGCUAAUACGAGAUAAUAUGCUUUUAUCGCAUGGUAGAAGUAUCAAAGCUCCGGCGGUACAGGAUGGACCCGCGUCUGAUUAGCUAGUUGGUAAGGUAACGGCUUACCAAGGCGACGAUCAGUAGCCGACCUGAGAGGGUGAUCGGCCACAUUGGAACUGAGACACGGUCCAAACUCCUACGGGAGGCAGCAGUGGGGAAUAUUGCACAAUGGGCGAAAGCCUGAUGCAGCAACGCCGCGUGAGCGAUGAAGGCCUUCGGGUCGUAAAGCUCUGUCCUCAAGGAAGAUAAUGACGGUACUUGAGGAGGAAGCCCCGGCUAACUACGUGCCAGCAGCCGCAGUAAGAC
rnacentral:rRNA from 1 species